rnacentral:lncRNA from 1 species
UUACAAUCUCAUAUAUCAUAACAAUUAAAACCAUUCACCAAUAAUAUCAUACUAUAAUUAGAGAUUAAUCUGAGUCUCAAAAGCAUCCACCAUUUGCCUAAACUACAUAUUCAUCUACUUGACAAAAGACACCAGAAACUGAACCACAUUGAGAUGCAGAAGACAUUCACAAAUGCCAUUCAACAUGGUGACAUAAAACAACAUUCACAACACCUUCAGUGCGCUGCACUCGACUCAACACUUCAAUCUGUGUACAUUGCAUAAUAGAAAUCAAGCUUCUGAGCACCUAUUAAGUUUUCUUAGUCAAACAAACCACCUGUGCCUAAUCCCCUUCGCAGCAACUCCUUUCAACGCAGCUCUUCUAAAGGAUCUGGACUCUUCAUUAUUCUUCUCAUUUGUCUGAAAAUAAAAUCAAGGCCAAUUUAAUUAUAAGCUUCAAAUAAAAUGCUUAAUCAGUUCCUGAAUCUUUAUUCAUCAGUCCUAGAAUACCUGUCUUGAGCAUGUUGAGCAGGAAAAGUAGACACUGCUGCAUUCUGCAAACCCAACAAUAAAUAAAAUUAAAAUACUUUACACUAAAAAAUUAAUGUUGUAGCAUGAAACAUUCGAAAAUAUAAGUACAUAUAUGCAAAGACCUCCAAAAUUAUCAAAGCAAAAUUUCUCCACAACUAUCAAAUCAAAGAGCCAUAUAAUAUACUAAACAGGGUAUCCACACCAUAAAUCAUCACAUUAGAAAAUCAAAACCAACAAAACCAACAGAGUGACUAAUUUCCUCUCAAGAAGCUUAAUGGGCUUGACGAAAUCAAAACCCCUAAAAUGAACCCUAGGAUUCGUUCAUUUGGUUGCAACAGAAAAUUAGAAAAUACCUUGCGAAUGCGUCGGUCGGGGUCUUGCCGUUUGCGUCGCCGGAGUUUUCGACCGGAGUUUUUUCUUAACCUAUUGACCCGAUUUGGAAUCCAUCAGUUUUUUCCCAACCCAUUCAAAUCAGAUCCUGGACCGUUGGAUAUCAUCCAAUGGAUGAGAAGGAAAGUUCGGAAUUUAAGCCAAAUCUGGGAGACCGGAUG